rnacentral:rRNA from 1 species
AUUGAACGCUGGCGGCAGGCCUAACACAUGCAAGUCGAGCGGUAGCACAGAGAGCUUGCUCUCGGGUGACGAGCGGCGGACGGGUGGGUAAUGUCUGGGAAACUGCCUGAUGGAGGGGGAUAACUACUGGAAACGGUAGCUAAUACCGCAUAAUGUCGCAAGACCAAAGAGGGGGACCUUCGGGCCUCUUGCCAUCAGAUGUGCCCAGAUGGGAUUAGCUAGUAGGUGGGGUAAUGGCUCACCUAGGCGACGAUCCCUAGCUGGUCUGAGAGGAUGACCAGCCACACUGGAACUGAGACACGGUCCAGACUCCUGCGGGAGGCAGCAGUGGGGAAUAUUGCACAAUGGGCGCAAGCCUGAUGCAGCCAUGCCGCGUGUGUGAAGAAGGCCUUCGGGUUGUAAAGCACUUUCAGCGAGGAGGAAGGCAUUAAGGUUAAUAACCUUAGUGAUUGACGUUACUCGCAGAAGAAGCACCGGCUAACUCCGUGCCAGCAGCCGCAGUAA